UUUGUGUUGCGCUGCUGCCUCGUGAUUGGCUUGCUUGCCUUGUUGCUGCCAUUAUUUUGGUAUUCCUUUCCAUAUGAAGUUGUUGGAGUAUGUAUAUGGAGAUAAUCUAUGAAGUUCGAGCUAUAGUUGGUUAUCCAAAAUGUCGAAUUAUUGGGAAUCGUUUAAAGGGUUCAUUGUUAGUGAUUUUGCAGGGUUGAUGUCGAGGUCGUGGAAUAUGAUUAUUGAUCAAGAAGAAGAGUUUUAUGUUAUGAAAUGGUGGGCUGAGGUUAAAGUUAGAUGUUUUGUUUCAAAGUAUUUGUAAUCUGUUAUUUGAUUUUCAAGUUGUUAUAUUGUGGGCCCCUGACCCACAGAUCCAGGAUCGUUUUUAUAGGUUUAGUUUCCGCUGUAAAUAAAUGUAAAUUCGAGAUUUGUUAAGUGUUGAUUGUGUUUUGUGUA